GACGAACGCUGGCUGCGUGCUUAACACAUGCAAGUCGAACGCUGAAGCCGUGUGCUUGCACAUGGUGGAUGAGUGGCGAACGGGUGAGUAACACGUGAGUAACCUGCCCCUGACUUCGGGAUAAGCCCGGGAAACUGGGUCUAAUACCGAAUACGACUGUUCCUCGCAUGAGGGAUGGUGGAAAGUUUUUUCGGUUGGGGAUGGGCUCGCGGCCUAUCAGUUUGUUGGUGAGGUAAUGGCUUACCAAGGCGACGACGGGUAGCCGGCCUGAGAGGGCGACCGGCCACACUGGGACUGAGACACGGCCCAGACUCCUACGGGAGGCAGCAGUGGGGAAUAUUGCACAAUGGGGGAAACCCUGAUGCAGCGACGCAGCGUGCGGGAUGACGGCCUUCGGGUUGUAAACCGCUUCAGCAGGGAAGAAGCCCUUCGGGGUGACGGU
rnacentral:rRNA from 1 species